CAUUUUUCGCUUUUUUUUCUUUUUGGUCAUUCUCGGGGAUUAUUUUGGCCCAGGGUGUUGGCCUCGAGACGAGCUUUCCGAAAAGUACUCACGGGCCCCGUGAGUCAAUCGGGAUCGAAAGUUAGGCACGCUUUAAUAUUUGUAUUCGGUCGCAUGUAAGUCGUACUCAGUUAAUUGAGUCGGGCUGGGGAAAUUGCGUUAACUGAGUCGCUUAAAAGAUGGAAGUUGAACACUCUAGACUUCUCUCGAGAAGAGAAAUUGAGUCGCUUCAAGUAAAUUUGCAAUGCAUAACAUGAC
rnacentral:misc_RNA from 1 species